UCAAUAAAUACUGCCUAACCAAAACUAAUGAAAACCAAAAACCCAAACCUAUCACUCUUUUCCUCUCAAAGAUUGAAAAAAAAAAUGGUAGAAAAGAGAGGUUAUCAUCAUUGUCCGAUGAUAAAUCUCCUUCGCGAUGUCCAAAGGCAAAUGAUAGCAAUGUUGGUUCAUCUGGAAAAUCGAUGCCGAUCUUGGAGGAAUCCAAGAAUAUUGAAUUCACAUGUCAUUCAGGUGCUGAAACGGAGAAGCCUUGCUGCCAACUUAUAUCAGAGUUUCUGGAGGUUUUCUAUUAGUAGUAUUUCUUAUUUUAAAACCAUUUCUUUUUUUUCCUGUUCGGGUGUAUGUGUUUGCAUUAAAUCUUUAUUAAUUCAGAUUCGCACUGUUUUGGGUCCCAUUUGGCAGAAAAUAUAUUAAGGAUUUUUUCAGACUCAAACACAAACUCGACAUCUCUGGUUAAAACAGUAACAACGCCAUCCACUGCAUUUUUGCUGGUUCUUUAUCUAUUUUUGCUGUUGAAUUUCUUUGAUAUAAUGUGAAUACACUGCUCACCUUUUGUUUGAUAUCUAAUAGAAUGUGAAUACAUUGCAGAAUCCAACAGUGGAUAUUUCUGGGCAACAUUUCAUGGCUGGUGCAGGCAAAGACAUGCAAUGAUUUGUGUGAUAAAUCGUGAAGAGUACCAAAACUCGAUGGCUUUGAUUGAGAGGAAUGGAAGCAGAGAACCAUACCCUUGGGUGGAAUACUAGUGGGCUUCUCAAUUCUGGCGAUCAGAUCGUCUUCCUCUCAAUCUGUGAGCUGUGCUUAGACGCCCCUGCUGUGGAUUAUCCGGACAAGUUACUCGCUAAUACAUUGUUUGAGGCUGGCUGUAUUCAAUGAGAGCCAGAAUUUGCUCAUUUUGUUUGUGAAAGAUUAAAUCCAAACUCGGUAUGAACGACAUUAAAAAGGAAAAAAAUUUAUGAAAUCGAACAUUUGUGCAACAUCCUUUCAUAAUCAUAUAUUGAGGUUUGAUUAUAUGAUCUAUUACAAUCCUUUCCUCAUGAAUUAUGUUGUGUGUGGUUGAGUUAGGCCAUUUAACAUGGUAUAAUAGUCUGGCGUAUCCUAAUUAUUACUUAUCUGAUGCUUUGCUAAAUUUGUUUGUCAUUAGAAGCUACUAAAUGAUAUAGCAGAUAUUGACUGAUGAACUCAUGAACAAAUUCGUGUCCAACCCCAGGGAUGUUGCGACAUAAAAUGAAUUUGAGAAGGGUUGUGCACAGAGGAUUCUGAACGAGUUAUGUUACUUGCAGCAACAAACACGCCAUUUGAUCAGGCUGUCAUAAGGCGACUACCCCAUAGGUUGAUGGUCAAUUUACCAGAUGCUCCAAACAACGCAAAAAUUCUAAAAAUGAUACUCGCAAAAGAAGACUUGGCUCAUGAUGUCGAUCUGGAUUCAGUUGCAUGCAUGACAAAUGGAUAUUCCAAAAGUAACCUUAACGUGUCUGUACUAUUCAUGUUUGCUUGGAUAAAUUACUAGUCCUAUUUCAUCAUUCUGAAAACAAAGCGUCUUCAAACUUCUGAAUGAUGAAACAUGACUAAUCGUUUAUUUAAGCAAACAUGAUUAGAAAAAACACCUUAAGGUCACUUCAUGAAUAUCCAUUUGUUGUAUUUGCAAUUGAAUUCAGAUCAACAUCCUGAGCCAAGUCUUCUUUUGCGAGUAUCACUUUUGGAACCUGUGUAUAGCAGAUGCAUAUCAACCCGUUGGAGAGAUAGUAGGAAAAAAAAUUGUAGCUUUUCUAUUUUUGAUGUCAGUUUGUUGGUUGCUUAACUGAGCUAGAAAAUAACAUGUUGGCUAAGGGUAAAGCUUUCUCUGCCUGAUGUUUAUUCGUUGAUUGCUUAACUGAGGCAGAAAAUAAGAUGUUUGCUCUUCCAAUUGAUUUUUUUCUCCGCGAUUAUGUUAUGGAUGUCAACUCCACUUUCUUUUGAUAAUUUUCAUGGGUUUUAGAGGAUCCUUUGAAGCAUCUUUAAUUCAAUCAUCACAGAUCUGAUGUAUUUUUCGUUUUUCAAAUUUAAUUCUUUGGUACUUAUGGUAAUCCUGCUUUCUUUGUUAAAGAAAAAGACAGUCUGGUGCAUGAAGUAUCCACCUCAUUCGGUGCCCGGUGCAUAGAAGGGCUGAGCUUCUUGAGUGGAAUGAUCUGUAUGGAGAAGGGCUCUCGAAAGAAGCAGUCUCUGAAAUACAUCAUGUAAAGACUCUCUAUAUGUAAAUGUUUAUUCUUCCUUGGUAAAAAUCUUGAUUCCGUCAAAUAUGAUUUGGUACUUAAAGCACAAA